GCUGAAGAAGAGCGCUGCUCCGAG
rnacentral:misc_RNA from 1 species